rnacentral:rRNA from 1 species
UACGGGGGGCGCAAGCGUUGUUCGGAUUUACUGGGCGUAAAGGGCGCGUAGGCGGUCAGCACAGGUCAGUUGUGAAAUCUCCGGGCUUAACUCGGAAAGGUCAACUGAUACUGUGCGACUAGAGUGCAGAAGGGGCAACUGGAAUUCUCGGUGUAGCGGUGAAAUGCGUAGAUAUCGAGAGGAACACCUGCGGCGAAGGCGGGUUGCUGGGCUGACACUGACGCUGACAGCGCGAAAGCUAGGGGAGCGAACGGG